AGCGAACGCUGGCGACAGGCCUAACACAUGCAAGUCGAACGAACCCUUCGGGGUUAGUGGCGGACGGGUGAGUAACACGUGGGAACGUGCCUUUAGGUUCGGAAUAACUCAGGGAAACUUGUGCUAAUACCGAAUGUGCCCUUCGGGGGAAAGAUUUAUCGCCUUUAGAGCGGCCCGCGUCUGAUUAGCUAGUUGGUGAGGUAAAGGCUCACCAAGGCUACGAUCAGUAGCUGGUCUGAGAGGAUGACCAGCCACAUUGGGACUGAGACACGGCCCAAACUCCUACGGGAGGCAGCAGUGGGGAAUCUUGCGCAAUGGGCGAAAGCCUGACGCAGCCAUGCCGCGUGGAUGAUGAAGGUCUUAGGAUUGUAAAAUACUUUCACCGGUGAAGAUAAUGACUGUAGCCGGAGAAGAAGCCCCGGCUAACUUCGUGCCAGCCGCCGCAGUAAGAC
rnacentral:rRNA from 1 species